rnacentral:tRNA from 1 species
CGAGGGCCUCGCGGACGGCCUUGCGCGCCGCGCCGCCGCCGUGGCCGUGGCGGAUCAAGACAAUGUCCUGGUCACGGCCGAGGGCCUCGGC